GAUGAACGCUGGCGGCGUGCCUAGUACAUGCCAGUCGAGCGAACAGACGAGGAGCUUGCUCCUCUGACGUUAGCGGCGGACGGGUGAGUAACACGUGGAUAACCUACCUAUAAGACUGGGAUAACUUCGGGAAACCGGAGCUAAUACCGGAUAAUAUAUUGAACCGCAUGGUUCAAUAGUGAAAGACGGUUUUGCUGUCACUUAUAGAUGGAUCCGCGCCGCAUUAGCUAGUUGGUAAGGUAACGGCUUACCAAGGCGACGAUGCGUAGCCGACCUGAGAUGGUGAGCGGCCACACUGGAACUGAGACACGGUCCAGACUCCUACGGGAGGGAGCAGUAGGGAAUCUUCCGCAAUGGGCGAAAGCCUGACGGAGCAACGCCGCGUGAGUGAUGAAGGUCUUCGGAUCGUAAAACUCUGUUAUUAGGGAAGAACAAAUGUGUAAGUAACUAUGCACGUCUUGACGGGACCUAAUCAGAAAGCCACGGCUAACUACGUG
rnacentral:rRNA from 1 species